rnacentral:rRNA from 1 species
CAGCCGCCGCGGUAAUACAGAGGGUGCGAGCGUUAAUCGGAUUUACUGGGCGUAAAGCGUGCGUAGGCGGCUUUUUAAGUCGGAUGUGAAAUCCCUGAGCUUAACUUAGGAAUUGCAUUCGAUACUGGGAAGCUAGAGUAUGGGAGAGGAUGGUAGAAUUCCCGGUGUAGCGGUGAAAUGCGUAGAGAUCGGGAGGAACAUCAGUGGCGAAGGCGGCCAUCUGGGACAACACUGACGCUGAGGCACGAAAGCGUGGGGAGCAAACAGGAUUAGAUACCCGAGUAGUCCCUGUCUCUUAUAC